rnacentral:rRNA from 1 species
AUUGAACGCUGGCGGCAUGCCUUACACAUGCAAGUCGAACGGUAACAGGUUAAGCUGACGAGUGGCGCACGGGUGAGUAAUGUAUCGGAACGUGCCCAGUCGUGGGGGAUAACUGCUCGAAAGAGCAGCUAAUACCGCAUACGACCUGAGGGUGAAAGCGGGGGAUCGCAAGACCUCGCGCGAUUGGAGCGGCCGAUAUCAGAUUAGGUAGUUGGUGAGGUAAAGGCUCACCAAGCCGACGAUCUGUAGCUGGUCUGAGAGGACGACCAGCCACACUGGGACUGAGACACGGCCCAGACUCCUACGGGAGGCAGCAGUGGGGAAUUUUGGACAAUGGGCGCAAGCCUGAUCCAGCCAUGCCGCGUGCGGGAAGAAGGCCUUCGGGUUGUAAACCGCUUUUGUCAGGGAAGAAAAGGUUCUGGCUAAUACCUGGGACUCAUGACGGUACCUGAAGAAUAAGCACCGGCUAACUACGUG